ACUCAAAUGUGUGUUCAUAUUUGGGGCUUACAAAGCGGAAUUGCUGUGUUGGGUUGUGGAAUUAAGUAGCAGAGAUGAUUGCAGAAAAGCCCAGUUGGAUUAGGCACGAGGGUUUGCAAAUUUUCUCCAUUGAUGUUCAGCCUGGUGGACUCAGGGUUGCCACUGGUGGGGGUGACCAUAAGGUGCGGGUAUGGAACAUGAAAUCCCUGGGCAGGGAUUUCUCAAAUGAAGAAUCAGCUCAGAGGCUACUUGCAACCCUCCGUGAUCACUUUGGUUCUGUGAAUUGUGUUAGGUGGGCUAAGCAUGGUCGGUAUCUUGCAUCAGGAUCUGAUGAUCAAGUAAUUCUAAUUCAUGAAAGGAAGCCAGGUUCAGGAACCACUGAGUUUGGCAGUGGAGAGCCCCCUGAUGUUGAGAAUUGGAAAGUUGCAAUGACUUUGAGAGGGCAUACUGCAGAUGUGGUAAUGAUAUUUCUUGCAUUGUUUGGAUUUUUGGUGCACCCGAAAUAAAUUCUUUUGCUCUCUAGUUGUUGCGUAUGUUUCUCCUCCCAAAUUUGAUUGACCUUUUGUUUUCAAACAAUGUGUGUUCUUGCCUUUGGGAUUUACUUCAAGCUGCAAUAAGUAUGUACUCUGAAGCUACCAGAAGGUCCAUAUGAUCUUUGGCUUUUUCUACAACUGUCCCAACCAUGGGGGAAAAAAAAUGGGGGGAUAUGGGAGAUGUUUUUAUUGAAAUUCCCUUAAAUAAUUGCAAUGUAUUUGUAUAGUUCUUGGUGGUAUUGUCUAACUGCAGUGCUGCUUUUCCGUGGUUAAAGUACGCGGAUCUCAAUUGGUUUCCAGAUGACUCGAUGCUGGCCAGUGGAAGUUUAGAUAACACUAUACACAUCUGGAAUAUGAGCAAUGGUAUUUGCACUGUUGUUCUUAGGGGCCAUUCUAGCUUGGUUAAAGGAGUUACUUGGGAUCCGAUUGGCUCCUUCAUAGCAAGUCAAUCAGAUGAUAAGACUGUGGCUUGGAUGGUCCCCUUGUGGUCAUUUCAUUACUACCACUCAUGGGUUCCAGAAACAAAGGCAUUCAGCACCUGUUCUAGAGAGAGGGGAAUGGUCUGCUACUUUUGACUUCUUAGGAC